rnacentral:rRNA from 1 species
AGUGAACGCUGGCGGUAGGCCUAACACAUGCAAGUCGAACGGCAGCACAGUAAGAGCUUGCUCUUACGGGUGGCGAGUGGCGGACGGGUGAGGAAUACAUCGGAAUCUACUUUUUCGUGGGGGAUAACGUAGGUAAACUUACGCUAAUACCGCAUACGACCUACGGGUGAAAGCAUGGGAUCUUCUGACCUUGCGCGAUUGAAUGAGCCGAUGUCGGAUUAGCUAGUUGGCGGGGUAAAGGCCCACCAAGGCGACGAUCCGUAGCUGGUCUGAGAGGAUGAUCAGCCACACGGGAAGUGAGACACGGUCCAGACUCCUACGGGAGGCAGCAGUGGGGAAUAUUGGACAAUGGGCGCAAGCCUGAUCCAGCCAUACCGCGUGGGUGAAGAAGGCCUUCGGGUUGUAAAGCCCUUUUGUUGGGAAAGAAAAGCAGCAGGUUAAUACCCCGCUGUUCUGACGGUACCCAAAGAAUAAGCACCGGCUAACUUCGUG